GGGGUGUAGCUCAGGUGGUAGAGCGCUUGCCUCGCAUGACAGGCCCUGGGUUCAAGCCCCAGCACCACCA
rnacentral:tRNA from 2 species